UGCACUUUCUCUCACUUGUCCACUUUGGGCACCAUCUCAGGAGGCAUUUUCAUAAGUUUGAAGAAUGCAAUUACCACUUACAGAGAAUCUAUGCUUAUAAAAUUGAUUAAAGGAAGAAGGAGAAAAGAAAAUGCCAGACUCUGAGAAAGUUGCAGGGCCUAAAGAAGACUGUCAGCUUCCAUUUCUCCUAUUUUGUAAAACCAACAACCAUGCUGUAAGCAAAUUCAGGAUAUUCUGCAGGGGAAAGAGAGAGACAACAAAAAAAAGCUUUGGAGAAAAUGAUACAAGGAAAGAAGAUGGCCAUGGGGAGGAAUACAGAAUCACCCAAAUACUGAGUGAAGCCUUCCUGGACCGUCCAGCCUAACCCAGUUGCCAGCAGAAUGCAGCUGAAUAAAUUUCCCAACUGGUUUCAUAGAAUAACCACCUGGAAAAGUACUGCCCCAAAUCCCAAUCCAUACUGUCACAAUAAAUAGU